rnacentral:rRNA from 1 species
UACGAAGGGGGGCUAGCGUUGCUCGGAAUCACUGGGCGUAAAGCGUGCGCAGGCGGUUAUGCAAGACAGAUGUGAAAUCCCCGGGCUUAACCUGGGAACCGCAUUUGUGACUGCAUAGCUGGAGUACGGCAGAGGGGGAUGGAAUUCCGCGUGUAGCAGUGAAAUGCGUAGAUAUGCGGAGGAACACCGAUGGCGAAGGCAAUCCCCUGGGCCUGCACUGACGCUCAUGCACGAAAGCGUGGGGAGCAAACAGG